ensembl:lncRNA
AUUAGCUUUGCUCAGGGUAAGACUGGGAAGCCAUCCUAGCUCCGUCCUCAGAUAUAAAGAAAAAUGGCACCUAUAAAGCUCACCAACAUAAUAUCUCACUUGUUUAAUCCAUAAAUAAGCAAUGAAAAGAUAGCUUGUGGUUUAAUGGGGAGCUAUGCGCUAUAAUUAUGUCUUGUCAAACAACAGCUGCUGGUUGCCUGUUAACUCUCACGGUGGCACAACUACACAAGGGCUAGCUGCUGUUUGGUAAAUAACGUCUCUCGUGUUUCUUUUUAAUGCACAAAGUAAACGUGAGCGAUGCAGAGUUUUAUGUACGCUUUAGUUGUGGUUUUAGUCUGCUUCACUUCUUCACCCUGCAUGAUUAUGCCGAGAUCACGGCCUGUCGGUUCCAGCUUCAUAUUUAAUGUUUAACUGUGAUAGAUGAUUAGGUUAUCCCUACCUGAAACCCUCAGGAUCAGCUGGUUUUAUUUAUUUAUUGUACAUAAACCGUAGCAUUUUAAUGAAGCUUUGCGACAUUUUUCUUGCAUACUAUAAUAGGGUGGGUCUAAUAUGGACACUUUUCAAUUUGCCUUAUGUAUUCCGUCAUUUUUUUUUAUUUUUUAUUUUUUAUCCCUCAUAACAUCUUAAUUAUAGGUGAAAACCUCAUGAGAUUUCCGGGGCUCAAAAUCAUCUCAAUGCUCUGUUAAAACUGCAGCCAAAGCAAUUUUACACCCACUCAAAGUGUCACAAUAUGAAGUCAAAGUCAGUGUAAUAUGUACACUUGCUGGUCACUUCAUUUGGUACAGGUGCUUAGUAAUACAAAUAUCAGCCAAUCAAACUGCAGAAAUGUAUUGCUUUAAGGCUUGUAGACUUAGUUAAGGUGGUCUUAGUUCAAACUAAGGAUGAGAAUGUGGAAAGAAGGUGAUCUAAGUGACUGACUGGUUGUUGGUUGUUAAUGGGCUGGCCUGAGUAUUUUAGAAAACGCUGAUUGCUUUGACUUUCCCCAUACAACCAUCUCUAGGGUUUACAGAGAACGGUCUUAAAAAGAAAUCAUCCUGUAAGCAGCAGGUCUUUGGAUGAAAAUGCUUUGAUGUCAGAGGUCAGAUGAGAAUGGCCAGACUACUUCGAGCUGAUAAGAAAUAAGCACUCAUUACAA